AUGCGAUAAGUAGUGUGAAUUGCAGAAUUCAGUGAAUCAUCGAAUCUUUGAACGCACAUUGCGCCCUAUGGUAUUCCGUAGGGCAUGCCUGUUCGAGCGUCAUUCAACCCUUCAAGCUCUGCUUGGUGUUGGGCGUCUGUCCCCGCCCCUCCCGGCGGCGGACUCGCCUCAAAUCUAUUGGCGGCCGGCACGUUGGCUUCGAGCGCAGCAGAAACGCGAACUCGAGGCCCGGCGGAUCGGCUCCCAGAAGCGAACCCCCCCAUGAAUUUGACCUCGGAUCAGGUAGGGAUACCCGCUGAACUUAA
rnacentral:misc_RNA from 1 species